AACGCUAGCUACAGGCUUAACACAUGCAAGUCGCGGGGCAGCAUGAAUUUAGCUUGCUAAAUUUGAUGGCGACCGGCGCACGGGUGAGUAACGCGUAUCCAACCUUCCCUUAUCCACGGGAUAGCCCGUCGAAAGGCGGAUUAAUACCGUAUGAGGUCAUUUGAUGGCAUCUGAUUAUGACGAAAGGUUUAGCGGAUAAGGAUGGGGAUGCGUCCGAUUAGCUUGUUGGCGGGGUAACGGCCCACCAAGGCGACGAUCGGUAGGGGUUCUGAGAGGAAGGUCCCCCACAUUGGAACUGAGACACGGUCCAAACUCCUACGGGAGGCAGCAGUGAGGAAUAUUGGUCAAUGGGCGAGAGCCUGAACCAGCCAAGUAGCGUGCAGGACGACGGCCCUAUGGGUUGUAAACUGCUUUUAUGCGGGGAUAAAGUGGGGGAUGCAUCCCUUUUUGCAGGUACCGCAUGAAUAAGGACCGGCUAAUUCCGUGCCAGCAGCCGCGGUAAUACGGAAGGUCCGGGCGUUAUCCGGAUUUAUUGGGUUUAAAGGGAGCGUAGGCUGGAGAUUAAGCGUGUUGUGAAAUGCCGCGGCUCAACCGUGGCACUGCAGCGCGAACUGGUUUCCUUGAGUGCGCUGAAAGUGGGCGGAAUUCGUGGUGUAGCGGUGAAAUGCUUAGAUAUCACGAAGAACUCCGAUUG
rnacentral:rRNA from 1 species